AUGGGAAAUCCUGUUGAUGCUCCUAAACCUUAUCAAUGGAUAUGGAAAUCAUGCUCUUUACCCAAGCAAAAAUUCUUCUUCUGGCUUCUGUUACAAGACAGAUUAAACACCAGAGACCUACUCAACAGGAAGAAUUUCUACAUUGAGACUAGUAAGUGUGAAUGAUGUGAUGAUGAACCUAAUGAACACCUAACGCACCUCUUUUUUAGCUGUGAUUUCAGCCAAAUCUUCUGGAUGAACAUUGGUUACCAAUGGAACACUGAUCAUAACCUUAUGAAAAUGCUCUUGGAGGGAAGGAAACAAGAUACCCAUGGCUGCUUUAAAGAAUGUUUGAUUGCUGGAUGCUGGAGUCUCUGGAAACACAGAAAUAGCAUUAUUUUUUAUCACAAGGUCAAGAAUAUGGCAUAUUGCAUUGCCACUUUCAAGGAGCACUUCAGCAUGAUUAUAAAGAAGGCAAAACCUGGAUUGAAAGAGGGCAUGCAAAGUUGGCUAGAUCAUUUGUAG
rnacentral:rRNA from 1 species